ACGAACGCUGGCGGCGUGCCUAAUACAUGCAAGUAGAACGCUGAGGACUGGUGCUUGCACUGGUCUAAGGAGUUGCGAACGGGUGAGUAACGCGUAGGUAACCUACCUCAUAGCGGGGGAUAACUAUUGGAAACGAUAGCUAAUACCGCAUGACAAUAGGGUACACAUGUACCCUAUUUAAAAGGGGCAAAUGCUUCACUAUGAGAUGGACCUGCGUUGUAUUAGCUAGUUGGUAAGGUAACGGCUUACCAAGGCGACGAUACAUAGCCGACCUGAGAGGGUGAUCGGCCACACUGGGACUGAGACACGGCCCAG
rnacentral:rRNA from 1 species